rnacentral:misc_RNA from 1 species
CACAGGCAGCGCUUGCCCACAGGUUAUGUGCCUGCUCGCCGCUGUCGUACUUGUGUGCUAUUCUUUUCGGGCAUGCCUCGUUGUCUUCUCCGAAACUCGCAGCUUGCUCUGCGGCACACUCGUGUAGCGCGUGUGAAAGGCAGCAGCGUGACUUUGAAGAAGCUGUGCAAGUGUGUGCUGAGCACGGGAGGAGGCAGGCACCGACGCAGAAUUACGCACGCCUACUGUGAUCACCCGCCCACAGAAGGAUGCAAGCACAUCAUCGUAAGCGAACCGGGUCUCUUCUCUUCUCUCUCGGAGACCUCCUGUUGUUCGGCGUUGCAAGAGUAGAUGGCGUAGACGACUUGCCCGCCUUCUCUCGCUCACGUGAUUCCCACCGCCGCGCCGUGUACGACGACUUGGCAUGGUAUCUGUUCUUUUUUUUUUUCGGCGAGCGUCGCUGCGCAACCCUCCGCUGGCCAACUAUGUUGACAAGAAGGACCAUGGGCGCGACAACUGUGCCUUUUCCCUUGCCAAUGCAAAUCUUGUGUCCAUGGCCGGCUUUGGCGGAGCCCAUCGUGGUGCUCAUCCACCGUCCGCGUCAGCGCCGGUGCGACGGCGCUCUGCACCGCCUUGUGGCCGGAUGUAUCGCUGAUCAUGCAGUUUGACCUGUCCGCCCAUUCCACUGUGGUGGUUGCUUCUGCGGUGGCACCGGGGAUUCCUGCCCGGUAGAGGUGUGUUGGUGGUGGUGAGGGAGGGGAAGACGCGAGGACAAGGCGAUCCAUGUGUUCGCCAGCGCCGGGCAGCUCCUCGUCAGCUUUCCACUCCGUCUCGCCCUUCUCGGCUAGGCACCAGAAGGCGAGCUCUACUUCCUUCGAGUCCCUGCGCUGGCGGCCGCGCUCGCGGACACGCGCUGCGUGACGCUCGGAGCCUCGGCAACGGCUUUGCUUGUGCCAUUGCAAAGCGGAGCUGGGCAGGCGUAUAUCUCCUGCCGUGUCUCACUGCGACCCGCCCGGCUUCGAGGGCCGAGGCCGCAUCGCCAAGGGCGGCUCUCGCCCGUGCUCCCGCUGCGUCGCCCAACACCCUUUGAACGACACCGGCAGGCUCCACGGCCUGCUGCGUGAAGAGCUCGCGUCGUCCGUUGUCUAUCCCGUUCGACUGCCUCUGUCCGUGCCUGCUUUCUUCGCGCUUGUUUUUGGGCGGCGGCGGCCGAGGACCAAG